GUAGGGUGCAAGCGUUAAUCGGAAUUACUGGGCGUAAAGCGUGCGCAGGCGGUUUUGUAAGUCUGUCGUGAAAGCCCCGGGCUCAACCUGGGAAUUGCGAUGGAGACUGCAAGGCUUGAAUCUGGCAGAGGGGGGUAGAAUUCCACGUGUAGCAGUGAAAUGCGUAGAGAUGUGGAGGAACACCGAUGGCGAAGGCAGCCCCCUGGGUCAAGAUUGACGCUCAUGCACGAAAGCGUGGGGGGAGCAAACAGGAUUAGAUACCCUGGUAGUCCACGCCCCUAAACGAUGUCUACUAGUUGUCGGGUUUUAAUUAACUUGGUAAACGCAGCUAACGCGUGAAGUAGACCGCCUGGGGAGUACGGUCGCAAGAUUAA
rnacentral:rRNA from 1 species